CCUGUCCGUGGUGGGCCCUGGCCUUCCUCCCUGUGACCCGGGCAAGCUCAGUGUCUGGGGUUUCCCCUGUCUCUUUCCACGAGCGGGACUCUGCUGUGUCCCAGCCGAGUGGCCUCGCAGGCCUGUGCUCUGUCGGUCCCAGAGGCUGGCCUCCCAAACACCCACGCUGCCCAAGAAAUGCCAUGUGCUCCUCCCCAGGACUCUGGAGACCCCAAAGAAGGGCCCUGCAGCUCCUGAGAAUAGUCCAUGCCCAGAGCCAAGUCCCCUCAGAGGCCUUCCCGGGAUCAGGGGUCACUGAGCAGCCGCAGUCCUGAAUGAUCCAAUGCGAGUGACCACCUGCUUCCUGCUGGGACCCUGACAGAGCCAACCUGGGGCCCUGGAGGCUGGGAGCACUUACUGUGAAUCCGAUGCCCACGGUGGCCGAGAAGGAGCCGGGGAUGAACUUGCCCUGGUCGAACUGGACCAGCAGAGAUGUCUUCCCCACGCCACUGUCGCCCACCAGGAUGGUCUGAAGGGAGCAACGGAGAGGCGGGAGCUGCAGUGUGAAGCAGGGCCCACGACCAUGCGGACCCCACAUGCAGUGGACUGAUGGGUGCAGGGGGAACACGAGCUGAGCCUGCCUGACUCUGAGUUGCACUGCGCGUACACGGCAGCGAGGAAACUCUGGACGCCAGCCCGAUGGAAGCCACAGCCACGCUUCUUCCUUGUGGGACAAAGGGAAACUCUGGGAGUUAAUUCCAUGCGAAUAAAAGCCACUCGUUCUCCCAUA